rnacentral:rRNA from 1 species
GAUUAUGGCUCAGGAUGAACGCUGGCGGCGUGCCUAACACAUGCAAGUCGAACGGAAACUAAGCGCUUCGGAGACUUCGGUCAAUGUUUGCUUGGUUUAGUGGCGGACGGGUGAGUAACGCGUGGAUAACCUGCCUCAUACAGGGGGAUAACAGUUAGAAAUGACUGCUAAUACCGCAUAAGCGCACGGAAUCGCAUGUUUCUGUGUGAAAAGCUCCGACGGUAUGAGAUGGAUCCGCGUCUGAUUAGCUGGUUGGCGGGGUAACAGCCCACCAAGGCGACGAUCAGUAGCCGGCCUGAGAGGGUGAACGGCCACAUUGGGACUGAGACACGGCCCAAACUCCUACGGGAGGCAGCAGUGGGGGAUAUUGCACAAUGGGGGAAACCCUGAUGCAGCCGACGCCGCGUGAGUGAAGAAGUAUUUCGGUAUGUAAAGCUCUAUCAGCAGGGAAGAUAAUGACGGUACCUGACUAAGAAGCACCGGCUAAAUACGUGCCAGCAGCGGC